AUCCUUUCUGGCUCAUAAAGCGUGAUGAUUGGGUGUUCACACCAUUGCAUGAUAUGUGCCACCUACAAACCUUGUUAAAACAUGGGCACAUUACCCAUCUGAUG